rnacentral:rRNA from 1 species
CAAUAGCGUAUAUUAAUGUUGUUGCAGUUAAAAAGCUCGUAGUUGAAAAUUGAAUAUUAAAAUAAGUUUGGUCUACAUAAUUUUAUGUAUGACUACUUAUUUUGUAUUCUUCCUACUAGAUACUCGAUAUUGUUCUUAAUUGAAUGAUAUAGUAUUCUUUCGGGAAUACCAAUACUUGUAUUGGAGUUCUAGUUCAUUUACUUUGAGAAAAUUAGAGUGUUUAAAGCAGCCUCUUUGGGCUCUGAAUACAUUAGCAUGGGAUAAUAAAAUAGGAUUUAAUCUAUAUAUUUGUUGGUUUGAGUAGAUUAAAUAAUGAUUAAUAGGAACAGUUGGGGGUAUUUAUAUUGGAUGGUUAGCGGUGAAAUGCAUUGAUCCAUUCAAGAUAAACUAAAGCGAAAGCAUCUACCAAGGAUGUUUUCAUUAA